CUUGUUUUCUUUCUUCUUUUUCGUCCUAUGCCCUCUAGCGACACAAGCCAUAAUAACACAACACAGACUCCAGAUGUGCCAAAAUUUCAAAUAUGCAAACUGUGAUGCAUGGCUAUUAACUAAAACUCUUGUUUCACUGUGUGGUUUGCUGUACGCAGCUCAAACCAGAGGAUAGUUAUGCCAAUAUCAUACGUAGCUGAGUCCCUGGUUAAGUUCUUCGAGGAUAUCUGGACUUGCACAUCAGUAAGGGAUUGGGAGGAAACUAAGAGGUUAGAGGAUGAAUGGAGGAGUGGAUGGGAUUAGACAGACCAAUGUCACAUUGCUUAUGAAUUCGGUCGUUUUUAACUUUACUCAAAUGGGGAGGGCACUCUGUCCUUGUGUCGUAGUAUUUGUCUUAACUUGCCUAGUUAAGAUAAAUGUUUAUUGUGUUACUUAUGCAUAUAGGCUGUACCUGUAAACAUAGUGCAUCAUGCAACAGUACUGGAUCUUUGA